UACGGAGGGGCAAGCGUUGUUCGGAAUCAUUGGGCGUAAAGGGCGCGUAGGCGGCCGUCCAAGUCGGAUGUGAAAGCCCUGGGCUCAACCCAGGAAGUGCAUUCGAAACUGCAGAGCUGGAGUCCUGGAGAGGAAGGCGGAAUUCUCGGUGUAGAGGUGAAAUUCGUAGAUAUCGAGAGGAACACCGGUGGCGAAGGCGGCCUUCUGGACAGU
rnacentral:rRNA from 1 species